CUGCUGCCUUCCGUAGGAGUCUGGGCCGUGUCUCAGUCCCAAUGUGGCCGUUCACCCUCUCAGGCCGGCUACUGAUCGUUGCCUUGGUGGGCUUUUACCUCACCAACCUAGCUAAUCAGACGCGGAACCAUCGUAUACCACCGGAGUUUUUCACACUGCUUCAUGCGAAGCUGUGCGCUUAUGCGGUAUUAGCACCUAUUUCUAAGUGUUAUCCCCCAGUAUACGGCAGGUUUUCCACGCGUUACUCACCCGUCCG
rnacentral:rRNA from 1 species